GGGCUUCAUGGCUGCUCAACCCCAAGAGGGAGGGAGGCAGGGGUCCUGGCUCCACAGCACCAUGGGCCCUCUCAAACCCAUGCCAGCUCAUGCCAGCCUGCUGGGGAAGUCCCUGCUGUGGCAGAAACAGCCUUCCCCUCCCCCCACCCCCAAUCUUAAGCAGAUGCCUGUCACCCUGAGCAAGAAGCUGUCACCUCCAUCAGGAGGGCGAGAUGGCUCAGAGCUGCUAAGAUGCCUAAGCUGCAGAGGCAGGGCUGGAGGAACGUGGGGAUGCCUGUGACAGUCAAGGAUGACAAAGAUAAUCUUCUGCAUGUGAAGAGGAAAUAGCUGGGAUGAGAGCCUCAGCACUGAACAGCCAGUUUGUAGCCUUUGGAAGGUCAACGAUGCAGACGUGUUAACAGGACUUCCACUUUACAAAUGAACAUACUGCCUUGCUAUAUCACCAAAAGGACUUAAGAUUUUUUCCCAAGUUUUAUAUAUAUCUAUAUAAACUAUGAUAGUAUUUCCUAAAAUAUUUGUGAAAACUUAAUGAUACACAUCUGUAAUUGUAUUGUUCUACAUUUUAUUGAACUUCUUGAGGUUUCAUUUCAUGAUGUAACGACCCUGAAAUAGCUCAAGUGCAUAAACUACUGAUGUAGUGGUCUACUGUAUAUAACAUCUAAUACAUAGUACAGCCAGUCACGAGAGGUUUCGUUUGGUUAAUGGAACAUUUAAGAUUUGUGUCUUGAACACUUUGCCAAAUUUUACAUCAAAUGCAAAAAAAAAUAACACAAGAAAAUGAAAAAAAAAAAA